ensembl:lncRNA
GGCCGUUUUCUCAACGUGAGGGCCGCUGCUGAAGCCCUGAGCUGCACCCAGUUAGUAAGUCACAGAGAGUGAGGACAGUCAGGAGACUGAGGGCAGUCACAGAACUCGAGAUUGGCGCAUGGACAGAGUCACCAGCCCAUGCCAUGGGCACAGCCAGCAAUGGACUGGGUGGCUGGAAUAUGGACCCAGAAAGUGUGGUGUUGAGUUUUCUUCAAUCUCAUAGACAAGGGCAUCAAGAUAAAGGUGAUUUGCAUCCCCGACUAAAGCAGAGCCACCCUGUCCACCAUGAAUGCUUAAACACCUGCUGAAGCUGAAGAGAGAACUCCUGUGUUUAAGCACCUGUUACUGUGGGUCUUUGUUAAAGAACUGCAUCCUAGCUAGUACAGACAUUCAUUUCAACAUUGUAAGUUGUUCUGCUUUUUUUUAAACAGAAAUGCCUAAAUGUCUAUCAGAGAGAAAGCGAGCAAAGGAGCCAUGGUAACUCCACACAAUUAAGAAC